rnacentral:rRNA from 1 species
GACGAACGCUGGCGGCGUGCCUAACACAUGCAAGUCGAACGAGGUCCAUCCUUCGGGAGAAGACCUAGUGGCGAACGGGUGAGUAACACGUGAGAAACCUGCCCCGAAGACCGGGAUAACCCUCCGAAAGGAGAGCUAAUACCGGAUACCCCCACCGAGCCGCAUGGUUUGGUGAGGAAAUGGAUUCCGCUUCGGGAGGGUCUCGCGGCCUAUCAGCUAGUUGGUGGGGUAACGGCCCACCAAGGCAUCGACGGGUAGCUGGUCUGAGAGGACGAUCAGCCACACGGGGACUGAGACACGGCCCAGACUCCUACGGGAGGCAGCAGUGGGGAAUCUUGCGCAAUGGGCGAAAGCCUGACGCAGCAACGCCGCGUGGGGGAUGAAGGCUCUCGGGUUGUAAACCCCUUUCGGCAGGGACGAAUCAAGACGGUACCUGCAGAAGAAGCCCCGGCUAACUACGUGCCAGCCGCCGCGGUAA